rnacentral:rRNA from 17 species
AGCGAAAUUCCUUGUCGGGUAAGUUCCGACCUGCACGAAUGGUGUAAUGAUCCGGACGCUGUCUCAACCAUGAGCUCAGUGAAAUUGUAGUAUCGGUGAAGAUGCCGAUUACCCGCGAUGGGACGAAAAGACCCCGUGAACCUUUACUACAGCUUAGCAUUGACCUUGGUCAUCCGAUGUGUAGGAUAGGCCGGAGGCUUCGAAGCGGGAGCGCCAGCUUUCGUGGAGCCAUCCUUGAAAUACGGCCCUUUGGCUGUCUGAGGUCUAACGCGUGAUACGCGGACACUGCUUGGUGGGUAGUUUGACUGGGGUGGUCGCCUCCAAAAGCGUAACGGAGGCUUCCAAAGGUGCCCUCGGGUCGAUUGGUAACCGACCUCAAAGAGUGCAAUGGCAUAAGGGCGCUUGACUGGGAGGCAGACAUGCCGAGCAGGCAGGAAACUGGGGCAUAGUGAUCCGGCGGAUGUGUAUGGAAACUCCGUCGCUCAAAGGAUAAAAGGUACUCCGGGGAUAACAGGCUGAUCCCCCCCAAGAGCUCAUAUCGACGGGGUGGUUUGGCACCUCGAUGUCGGC